UAUAAAUCCUAUAAACAAACUUUUUUGACAAACCCUAGAUUGGUAUGUUCUCUCUUCUUCAAUACGCUGGUUCUUCUCAUUCUUCGCCGCCGAUUCAUCAUCCAAAACUGAUCCAUCAUCCAAACCCGAUUGGCUACGCUUAAGCUUAAACCUGGUGGAUUUUUUGUUUUGAAAGACAACCUUGCAAGAUCUGGUACUGGGACAGGUGUAAUCUCCCUAUUUUAUUUUAAUUAUAUUGUAUUUUUAUUAGAUUAUACAGUAAAGUUCAAUGUUUUGUGUUAUACCUUAGUGUUACAUGGUGAUACUUUUACCUAUUGUUUCUAAAUAGUGCACAUAAGACAGUUUGUACGAUUUUGAUGAAUGUUUGAAGUGGAAUAAAAUAAAAGUGGGAGCAAUCUGCUCAUCAAUCCAGGGUUGAUUUGAAAUUCUUUAUAUGUUGGGUGAAUUUAUGUCAAAUAACAAUGAUGGAGCAAAAAGUACGUCUGGUGGGAUGAGCUUGACUUUGGUAGGUCCUAAACAAUUUUGGUGGAGGUCUUGCUGGGAUCUUUUUUAUUUUCUUUAUGUUCUUGAAUGAGCUGUGUGUUUAUGAAUCGAACGUAACAAAACGGAAACUCCAGUUUCUUCUCUUUCUUCUGAAUCGAAUGUUGGUUUAGCUAAUUCAACAGACGAUCAAGUUCAACCACCAACACCUAAUGAAUAUGAUCAUCAACGAGAGCCAUAUGUAUUCAGAUGUUUGUCAUGCUUCAGCAUUUUAAUGCCCACAGGAAAUGGGUUUAAGUUAUUUCGCGGCUUUGGAAAUAAAAACAACGAAGAAAAAAGUGAACUUUCUCUGAAGGAAGUGCCUUUAAAGAAAAGCUGGUUUUCGAACAUAUUUAAAUUGGAAAAGGUGGAGAAUAAUGUCACUGAUCUUAACGUUUCAGUAGCCGUUCAGAGUUUAGAUAUGAAAAAUAAUGCUGGUGGAGUCUCUUCUCUAUCUUCUAACCUAAAUCCGUCAAAUGCAAGAAGCUAACGCACAUAUCUCCAACGGUACAACAGAUUUGGAAAAAAGUCAACUUUCGUUAGAUAAAGUUUUAAGAGAGAGCAGCGGUCAGUAAAUUUAUUCAGAACAUAUAUUCGGUUCAAAUAAGAACCAAUAAAAAUCUAAUCAACGUGAAAACAAUAUAGUGUAUUAGUGAACACAUUAUUCGAGUGCAGUGACAUUUUCGUAAUUAACGUAAAACCAUGUGUAUUCAGUAUUCACCAGUGAAUACACUAUAUACAAAUGAAUCAAAUUUUGACUUGACGUGUUUUCAUGCUACUUACGAAAUUGCCACUGAGUAAUAAAAUCUUCAUGGAACAGAUCUGACGGCCACAUGUGUGUGUGUGUGUGUGUCUGUUUUAGUAAACUUAUAUAAAAUCUACUUUGACUAUGUUUUAAGUCAAAUUACAUGACAAUGAUAUUUGACCAUGGUAUGAUUAUGAAGUUUCAGUUCAAGCACCAAAUGCUAUGCAUGAAGUUUCACAACACGCUGUUCAGAACAAUGUUGAAAUUCAUCUUGAAGAGCCUCUGACUGUCAACAAGGAUGUCUUAACAGACGGUCAAAAAGUUAAUCUUCUCGAAGAUGUGAACAAUAUUGAAUGGGUUAUAUUUGUUUAGCGUCUCUUAUUUCGCUGCAUGAACAGGACACGUUUUCUAACUUUCGCUCUCUAUGUGUUUGUUAGUUGUUCAUUGUUCUCAUGUCAUUGCUUUUGGAUUUUCGGGGAUGAUAACGUAGGUCAUCGCCGGUUUUCAGGUAAACGGGAGUGGAUAGUUUGUUGGCGUUGCUGAAAUGAUGGGGCUUGAUUUCUUAUACAGCCAUGUAACACAAGCCACCACCACAAUCUUGCACCUUAAUUCUCAUUAAGUUCAAUAGGAUGAAGACUCUUGGUUUCAAGUAGAAGGUUAUGUGCUUGCUAAAUUUUGAUCUGCUUAUGAGAAAAGGCCCGAUUUUUGGUUCCACUUUUGGCUCAAAUGGUUCUACCGCAUCUGCUACUUAUGAUGUUGUGACGAGUAGAGAGUUAUCCAACUCGGUUUGUUUUUAUUCUCCUCUGCGUAAUCAGGACAAACAGCAAGUGAUGACCUGUAUGAGGUUCAACUAACUAUACCAGUGGAGGGUUAUGAGUUGGAUAUACUCAUGUUCUCUUGGUGAUGGUGAACGGGAGUGGAUAGUUUGUUGGCGUUGCUGAAAUGAUGGGGCUUGAUUUCUUAUACAGCCAUGUAACACAAGACACCACCACAAUCUUGCACCUUAAUUCUCAUUAAGGAUUGAAGAUAUCGAUCGCAAGCAUAGAUGUUUGGAGUACUGAAGUACUAAAUCCUACCCGAAUAAUAGAGAUUAGAGAUGCUACUAACUUUUUUAGGCGAGAACAUGAGGUUGCACUUGACUCGAGCAAGCCUAGCCUGUCGGCAUCUGAUUAUGAUAGCGGAAGUCAAAUAACAACUGCCAGCCCUUCUAAUAUGACUAUAUGGAUCAGUUUCCUGCUAUGAAAAUUCAAUCCAGAUAUGUAGCAAAACCACCAAGAGCUGGUGGUAGGUGGUGUGGCGGUGGUGUCACCGAAAGGGUGGUGUGAGUUGCCGGCGUUGCAAGAUGGUGUCAAAGGGGAAGGUAGAAGUUGUAUUGCAGAGUUGUGGCGGAGGUGCUCCUUUGGCAACCGGAGUUGCAGGUGGCAGAGGUGCUCCUUUGGCAGCGGGAGUUGCAGUUGGCAGCCGGAGUUGGAGUUGGCAACGAGAGUUGCAGAUAGUGGAAUUGGAAGGUGUUGCCCUAAUGCAAUUGUCAACUUGAUUAGCAAUCCUGUGAAUUCUACGGUUCCAAUCGCUGCAGAAGUUUUCAAGAAAGCUGGUACUUAUGAACUGUUGCUUGAUUUCUACAGAGUUUUUAGCGAUGUUCAUGUUUGGAUGUGACGAAAUACUUAUAUAGAAGAAAAAAAGGUUGCAAAUGGAGCUGCAAAGAUUCAAUUGGAAUUCAAGGAAGAAAAGUAAACGUUACAGGAACUGAUGGCUGUGUCCAGGUCCUCUCUACCUUCGGUGCGCGCUUGGGCGAGUUAGUGCUAAAGACUACAUAGAUGGCUAUGAGAAUGUUGGGUGGUUGAACGUGGAUCGGUUAACGUUUUGAGGAAAAGGUUUGAUAGGGUCAACUUCAAAAGUAUAUUUCGGGUGAUUUUUUAUGUAUUUCCUCUAACUAACUUUUGACUAGGUAAAGUUUUGAUUUAUUUGGGUAUUCCUUAAACAAUGCAUCGUUUCAAGACGUAGCACAUGCAACAGCGUUAGCAUAAUUUGCUCAUGAGUAGAUGGACACGGCUUCUGUGCUUCAAGAAGCUCAUAUCUCUAUCAAUCUCCUUCAUGAACAGAUUAAGCCAAGGUCGAAGCGCAACAAAUUAUGGUUGCCUAUUCAUGGAUUCAAACCUUCAAUUGCAACCAUCAAUUCUAACAAUGAUUCUAACAUUCAAAUGCAACAAAUUAUGCUUGCCUAUUCAUGGAUUCAAAUCUUCAAUUGCAACCAUCAAAGUUUAAUGAAGAAGAUGGCAAAGUAUGCAAAGGAAGGCAUGAGGGUGGAAGCAAGCAAAUCAAAAAUUUAUGGAACAAAGCAUGAUGCUUUUGUUGACAUGAUUGCAAGUGUAUUUAUUUAAAUAUCUUAUAUGACUUCUUAUAAUGAUUGGCAUUGUGAUUGGCUUCUAACUUUUGAUGUCAAAUUUUGACACUUUGUUUAUGUAACAUGACACUUUGUUUGUAUUUUAUUUUGUUUC
rnacentral:lncRNA from 1 species